AGCGAACGCUGGCGGCAGGCUUAACACAUGCAAGUCGAGCGGGCACUUUCGGGUGUCAGCGGCGGACGGGUGAGUAACGCGUGGGAACGUGCCCUCUGGUUCGGAAUCACUCAGGGAAACUUGAGCUAAUACCGGAUACGCCCUUUUGGGGAAAGGCUUGCUGCCGGAGGAUCGGCCCGCGUCUGAUUAGCUAGUUGGUGAGGUAACGGCUCACCAAGGCGACGAUCAGUAGCUGGUCUGAGAGGAUGAUCAGCCACACUGGGACUGAGACACGGCCCAGACUCCUACGGGAGGCAGCAGUGGGGAAUAUUGGACAAUGGGCGCAAGCCUGAUCCAGCCAUGCCGCGUGAGUGAUGAAGGCCUUAGGGUUGUAAAGCUCUUUUAUCCGGGACGAUAAUGACGGUACCGGAGGAAUAAGCCCCGGCUAACUUCGUG
rnacentral:rRNA from 1 species